rnacentral:rRNA from 1 species
AUCAAUUUUAUGUUUUUUAAAAGUACUAAAUCUUUAAAAUUAUUUAUUUGUUAAUAAUUUUAUUUUAAAAUAAUUAAGUAACAAUUAUGUUUGCAAAAUAACAAUUUUAAUUUUUAAGAAGUAAACUUUAUUGUUGUACCUUUUGUAUCAGGGUUAAUUAAUUUAUUAAAACUAUUUUUUUUUCCCGAAAAAUUAAGAUUUUAAUUGAUUUAAUAUUAGUUAUUUCAAAACCUUUAUUUAAUUCAAUUAAGUUUUGAAAUAAAAAUCGUUUAAUUUGAUAUCUGGUUAUUUUGGAUUUUAAUUUAAUUAGGGAUUUUUAAUUUUUAUUUUUUUUUUUUAUAAAAAUUUUAAAAUCAAAUUAAAGUUAGGUUAAGCUAAUUUUUAUUCUAUAAUUUUUUCUAAUUUAAAAAUUUGUAGGAUUAAAAUCUUUUUUCUUAAAAAUUUCGUUUUAGAAUUUUUUUUAAAUAUAUUUAAAAAUUUAGUAUUUUACAAUUUUUUUAGAUAAAAUAAUAUUUUUUUUUAACAAUGAUUAAAUUAGUAACUUUAAAUUUUAACAUUAUAAACUUGGCAAUUUUUUUUUUACUUGACUGUUUAUCAAAAACAUUUUCUUUUGUUUAUUUGAAAGGUAAAGCCUGCUCAGUGAAUUUUUUUAAAUAGCUGCAGUAUAUUAACUGUACAAAGGUAGCAUAAUAAUUAGUCUUUUAAUUGAGGUCUAGAAUGAACGGUUUAACAAAGUAAAAACUUUCUUAUUUUAAAUAUUUUGAAUUUAAUUUUUUGGUUAAAAAGCCAAAAUUUUUAAAUGGGACGAUAAGACCCUAUAGAUCUUAAAUUUUUUUUUAAUUAAGUAAAUUGGUUUAAAAAAUGUUUAAUUUUUAAAAAAAUUUUUGUUGGGGUGACAUUAAAAUUUUUAAAUCUUUUAAUUAUUUUUACAUUUAUAAAUGUAUAUUUGAUCUUAACUUUUAGAUUAAAAAAUUAAGAUACCUUAGGGAUAACAGCGUAAUAAAUUUGAAUAGUUCAUAUUGAUAAAUUUGUUUACGACCUCGAUGUUGAAUUAAUUAAAAAUUUUAGAGCAGGCACUUAAAAUUUAGGUCUGUUCGACCUUUAAUUUUUUACAUGAUUUGAGUUCAAACCGGUGUGAGCCAGGUUGGUUUCUAUCUAUUUAAUAUUAUAUUUAAUUAGUACGAAAGGACUUUUAAAUUAAAAAAAGUUUUUCU